CACGUAGGGCGCAAGCGUUGUCCGGAAUUAUUGGGCGUAAAGAGCUCGUAGGCGGUCUGUUGCGUCCGCUGUGAAAACCCGGGGCUUAACCCCUGGCUUGCAGUGGAUACGGACAGACUAGAGGUAGGUAGGGGAGAAUGGAAUUCCCGGUGUAGCGGUGAAAUGCGCAGAUAUCGGGAGGAACACCGGUGGCGAAGGCGGUUCUCUGGGCCUUACCUGACGCUGAGGCGCGAAAGCCAGGGGAGCAAACGGG
rnacentral:rRNA from 1 species